rnacentral:rRNA from 1 species
CAGCCGCCACGGGAAUACGGAGGGAGCUAGCGUUGUUCGGAAUUACUGGGCGUAAAGCGCACGUAGGCGGAUCGAUCAGUCAGGGGUGAAAUCCCAGAGCUCAACUCUGGAACUGCCUUUGAUACUGUCGAUCUGGAGUAUGGAAGAGGUGAGUGGAAUUCCGAGUGUAGAGGUGAAAUUCGUAGAUAUUCGGAGGAACACCAGUGGCGAAGGCGGCUCACUGGUCCAUUACUGACGCUGAGGUGCGAAAGCGUGGGGAGCAAACAGGAUUAGAUACCCCGGUAGUCCCUGUCUCUUAUAC